CAGGCCUACACCCCCAGGGAGGAGGCGUGGCGUGGAGCGGUGUGCUGCCAGGAGGCAUGCUGGGACGUGUAGUCUGAAGCCCUAGAGCUGAGCCAUACACAACUUCUGGGAGGUAGCCCUGUACUGAUCUGGAGCACAGCUGGUUUGCUAUUAAGCAUAAGAUGGACCAAAUCACAGAGUUGGACAUAUCCAGGGCAUCGGGCAUUUCAGGCACUUCUUUCAUCACAGGGUUAGCAAGAGCAUUAAGAUAAGAAAAUAACAUAACUGCAAUAAACUUAA